UGUUGUAAAUAAUUAUUCUUUGUUUGGUGCAGGUCUGGUGGAUAGGUUUCUUCUAGUAUAUCAGCAUGGUUGAAGUUUCCAGUUCUGAUGGUUAAAUUUCUAGUAUAUCAGAUGAGAAAGGACAGAAGACAAUCUACUAGUGAUGAAUCUUAUGUUAUUUGUUUUUGGGAAUCACUCAACAUUUAGGUUGAACUUAAAUAUGUAGCAUUUUGUUUUUGAGACAUCUUGUGAAUUUGUUGGAAGAAUGUUAUAUAUAUGGAUUGCGUUUGAAUGCAA